GGGGAUCUGGUGGUAUGAUUUGCCGUUAGGGAAGGCAAGGUCCCGGGUUCAAUUCCCGGGCACCCCCA